GGCGCCGUUGGUGCAGUGGUUAGCAUACUGCCUUCCCAAAAGCCUUACUUUCUACAUGUAGUUGUGAAAGUGAAAGGUGGCUUUGUGAGGCAGGGGUCGUGGGUUCGAGUAAGUGAAGUGCCG